AAAGGUGUGAAGAAGUGAAUAAGCCGUGUACAUAUCUUUUGCCUUGAAGCGAUGUUUUAUUUGUCAUUGCUGUGCGAUUCCCCUCUCAAACAAGGUGACCUCAUUCAGAUUCCAAUGCCUUAUCUCAAAGAUCCCUUGUUAGGAUUUAUGAAAUGCUGCUGAUGAAGUAUGUCACUGGUGUGUGAUUCUUCCUGAAAUUUGGCAGAACAUAGUAAAUAUAUGUAACAAAGAGUGAGAGUAGGAUCUGACACCACGUGAUCUUGAGAAAUGGGAACGGGUUCCUGGUUGUACUUGUUGGUAGGACUUUCUUAUGGUGUUUUGACUGGUAUUUCCCUUGUUUUUCUGUACUUAUUCCUAAUAUUCCAGGAAAUAUUGGGUCACUUGGCUUAAUAUAUAGGAGUAGAAAGUUUUGCCAAGAGACAGUACGCUGUGAUGCAAUGUUUGGCCAAGCUUUUAAAAUUAGCUUAUUUUGAAAAGUACUUUUCUUAAAAAAAAUUUUAAAACGUAUUUUUGGUGAGAAUUUGUUUGUAUUUGGCUAGUUAACUUAAAAAGAACUUUUGAGUAGCAAUGUUUGACCAAACCUUUUAAAAAAUACUUUUUUCAAAAGUGAAGUUACUAUUUAUGCUUUUUAAAAACUGUUUUUGUUUUUACUCAAAAAAAACUUUUUCCCCCCUACAAAUUUGGUCAAAUAUUUUUACUUUGAAAAAAAAGAAUUUUGGCUAAAAAGAAGCUUGCCCAAAAGAGGCUAUAAGAGUGCAUGCUUUCUCUAUUUAUUAAACAUAAUGGGAAUACGAAAUGGCCCCGUUUUGAUGUCUUCAUUUGUCAUCUAUUUCCAUGAGCACCAUGUCGGUUGAGUUAUUCAAUCUCGAGUAAGCAGGUCUUACUAUGUCCACUUUCUAUUUGCUUGAGAACAACUCCAUGCUUUUUUAUUAUUGGUUCUUUCUUCCUUCCUCCUCUUUCUUUUUACUUUUUCAGCUUUUGUUUUUCGCGUCCUUAAGAUCUGUCGUUCUAUUGUCAUAUGCCGGUACCCUUAAGUCUUAUAUGCCGGUACCCUUAAGUCUUAAUGGAUGGUAUUGAUAUUUGGAAUUGGAAGCCACGUGAACAUGUUUGGCACAGAAAUUCCACCGUUUAUAAUUUUAUUAUGAGGGGAUCUGUCAAUAAACGAAACCAGUUUAUGGAACUACAAAGGAUUUAGGAGCAGCUAAUAGGGAGCAGACUAAGCUAGCAGUUUUGGAAUGUAAGGGGGAAAAACAAUAAAAAAUCCUCAGGAAAUUGUGAAGGGACAAUAAAUCCUCUAUUUAUUUUUCUUCACAUUCACUUCACCAUAUUAAGUGAAUAAAAGUUUAUAUACAACACGCUUAUUAUAUAUUUAGAGAUAGUUUGAUUUAGUUAUGGUGGGAUUAGUUAUGUGGGGAUUAAUGAUAUUAGGAGUUGUGCUUCUUUACCUGUAAAAUGGUAUAACUGAAUUUGUUACGUGGUUUAUAGAUAAGUGAGAUUUGAUCCAAAAACGAUAAAUAAACAAGAUUAAAAAUAAGACUUAGCGGUUAAAAUCAAAGGAAAUGACAAGCUUGGCUCCGAGAACAAUGCCUCUAGGGACAGAAAUAUCAAUGUAUAGAGCAAAUAAUGUUAUUUUAUUGAGUUUGAGAAUGAAAUAUAGCAUAAGUUUUGCCAAGAUUUUCUUGUCUUACAAUGGCUGUUCAACCUACUAUUUAUAGCCAAACCUAGGGAAACAAGAUCCUAAGAUCAAGUCCUCUUAAAUGACAAUAAAAGGGUCAUUAAUGAAUAUGUAACGGCAGGCCGUGAACGUAAAUAUUCUCUGCAAAGACUGUCUAUUUUAAUGCCAGGGAAUAUUCAUCAUUGAGUGCUAUCUGAUGGCAAACAUUCGAUCUGCUCAUGUUGAUCACGCUCCCUUCAGGGUCUAUUCGAUGCCAACUGCAAUUGUUGUUCCCGGUACGGGUUGUUACUUGAUUUACUUUGUAUCUGUCUUCGGUUACAUGUGUCACGCUACUAUUCGAUCAUAUAAUAUAAACCAAUUUUACCAUAUACGGAUAGUCUCCUUACUUUCCGAUGGCAUAUCUUUGUGUUAUCGGGAAGUUGGUGAAUAUCCCUUUCUUGGCGGGAAAUCUUCUGAAAAUUUUCUUAACAGUCUCUGACGCUUGAAAGGACGCACGUCUUCUCGCAUUUAAUAUCCCAAACACGUGUUGCCCCACGAUUUAGCAAUAUUUUUGCCAAUUCUCGAGGUAAUCAUGACCACGAUGUGUGCCAUGUAUAUCUUUAUUUAUACUCAUCAUUCUAACUCUUUCACUUCCAAAACUUUCAUAAGUUCAUCAUCUUCUUGGCGCUUAACCUCUUUCUGCUCUCAUCUUUUCCUGACUUUUUUCAAAAAAUUUCUCUAUCUUUUUACUACCAUGGCUUGUUUUAGUGAGUCUUUCGAAAACUCUGGUCUUCUCUUCGGUGGAGGCCUGAAGAGAAAGAAAGACAAAGAGGUUGAUGUUAAUGUUGAUCCUUCCACGGUGAGCAUCGUUAUACCCAAUCACCUAAGUAUCCUCAACGACUUUCAAGUGAAGUUCCCCUCUGCGUCUCCACGGACUUGGGCCGUUAGUAGAUACCCCUCCUCCAUUUGCCCUUCUAGUAUUCCCUUUGUGAAGGAGAACUGCAACUACCCAAACUUUAACAUCCUUGCUCCGGAUAUGAUAGAGUGGGUUACCUUAACCAAGGAAGGUUUUACAAAUGUCUUAUCAUGGGCGGACCCUUGGGCGCGCCCCGUGGAGUCCUAGCAAGCCUCCCAACGCCUAGCGCCACGGAUGGCCCCGUGGUCUUGGCUGCGCCAAGUGACAAGCGCGCAUGUGCUUCUGUCUCCCAACCGAUAUCCCUCGCCAGCGCCCAGCCGCAGGCAUAUGCCAACAACGCCGCGCCCGCAGACCGUGAUGCCAAAGACAAUGUUGCUGACAACGACCUGUUUCUACCUUGCAGAAAACUAAGUCCUUUUCAUUGUAAAUAUAUAGUAGUUUUAUUUCAUGUGCUUCCAUUAUGUUUCUCUAGCUUAGUUAAGUCUAGUCUUGUAACUUUGAUUUAUUUUUUUUAAGCACUAUUAGGGUGGAUCAAGCAAUCAAACUUUCUAGCAAGCAAACAAUUCUCUGUACUGGUGUCUCUCUCCCCUUGACACCGUGUUGCUUUUCUGUAAUAGCUUUCAUUAAUUCAAUCAACCUUUCUUUCAUUCUCAAUUCUCAUUUCUAUUCUCUCAAUUGCUCUUGACAUUGGUUUUCCUAUACGACACUGACAAUCUCAUCUAGCAUAUGGAGAGGACCUCAAUUGGCGGAUAGUAACUGCACUGACAUCAGUUGCUUAACUUUAUGUCGCCCUUCCAAGGACUCUAAGGAAGGCGUAGCGUAAUAGUUGGUAUCAGAGCCUAGGCUCGACAUCGGACGAGGGAACAUAUUGCCAUUACCACCAUUUCUAAACAUGGUGAUUCAUAGGGAUCGCAUUGCGGCCCUCGAAGAGACGGUUGACGUAUUACGACCCAUCGUGGAUAUGGUGCCUGAAAUAAGAACCAGCCUAGUGCAAAGGUUGGACGACCUGGACCGCAGAAUGCUCCAGACCGAAGUUGACAUAGAAAACAUCAGUCACAACUCUGAUGGAGAUCGGCAAAUAGCAGCCACAGAGGCAGCCAAAAUUUUUGGCAAAUUCGAGGCCCUCCAACAAGAACGUGCCGAGGAUUUAGCCUACAGGGCACAAGAGGCAAAGAAGGUGACUUCCAUGCAACAAACUAUAGACAACUUGAUAGGCCAACUCAAUGUUGUCAAUGCUUCUUUACAAGGCCUGCUUCGAGGAGGCAAAAACCAAAUCGGGGGUGUUGUGAACCUCGCCUCCAUGGCACAAAAACUGAAUAUUCCUGAACCAAAGCCAUACAAUGGAUCUCGGAAUACCAAAGAAGUGGAAAACAUCAUCUUCGACAUCGAACAAUACUUCGAUGCCGUGGGGGGCCUGGAAGAAGCUAAGAAGGUAGCAACUGCUGCCAUGUAUCUUCAGGGUGAUGCUAAACUCUGGUGGUGGGUGAAAUACGAAGCCAUCAGGGCUGGUGAAGAUGCUCUCGAGACAUGGGCAGAACUGAAGACAGCCAUACGCCUACAGUUCUUCCCCGAAAAUGUUGAAUACAAUGCAAGGAGAAAGCUACGGGAGCUCCGCCAGACCAAAUCAGUGCGAGACUACGUACGAGAAUUCUCCGCGCUCAUGCUAAACAUAUGCGACAUGGGGGAAGAAGACAAACUCUUCACCUUCUUAGAAGGGUUGAAACCUUAUGCCCGUAUAGAGUUGCAAAGACAAAGGGUAGAUACCAUACCCAAGGCGAUCCAAGCAGCUGAUUGCCUUGGGGACUAUCAAGUGGAGGCUCGAAAGGAUAGGCCUCAACCGCCUACCCGAGCGGGAUACAAAGGAGGCUAGCCUAGCAAUGGUGGCCCUAGCAGAAGUGGGGGAGAUCGAAGUGCAACCAAAUCUAAGGCUCCCUCCUCAGGCAACAAUAGUGCUGCGUCAAACAACAAUGAUCGGGGGAGAAAACCCCCUUUAGGAUGUCGUUAUUGCGGCAGACCACAUUGGAAUAAUGAAUGUCCACAUGCACAGAUGAGAUGAACGCCCAUCAAGCUUUUGAUGAUGGAACGGAUGACGAAAUAGACGAUGCGGACCAGACUGAACUAGUAGGUGUCUUCAACGCAAUUGUUGGCCCAAUUUCUGAGGCCUUAGCGGAAACCAGUGCUGGUAUCCGUAAGAAGAAGGACCCAUGUCCUAGCACCAAGAAAGGAAAAAGGAAGGCAGAUAAGAGGAGUCCUCCCAAACAAGAAAGGACCUUAAUGUUCGUCGAGAUGAAGGUAACUGGCAAGCCCAUUCGGGCGAUGGUAGACAUGGGUGCUACCCACAACUACUUAGCCUCAACUCAUAUGGAGUGCCUUGGUCUAAUUGUAGGAAAGGGCAGAGGUAGUGUCAAGGCUAUCAACUCACCUCCUCAGCCAGUGGGUGGGAUAGCUAAAGAGGUACCAGUGAAGCUUGACCCUUACGAAGGAAAAUUCAACCUGCGCGUGGUGAUCAUAGAUGACUUCGAGUUGAUAGUUGGAUCGGAAUUCCUGAGGCAAACCAACACCAUGCCCGUACCGUAUGCUGACAUGUUACUGAUGAUGGGAGCAAACAGGGCCAAGCCAUGCAUUAUCCCAUGCAUUCCUAGGAAGAUGGCCGUUGAGAACAUCUCGGCCUUGCAGUUGAAGAAGGGGGUCAAAAGACAUGAACCUACGUUCCUGUCAACACUCUGCAUUGAAGAUAUAGAGCGCUCCUCGGGUCCUAUUCAUGCACCCGUGAAGUAGCUGCUACUGGAGUUUGAAGAUGUCAUGCCACAGGAAAUGCCAAAGUGACUCCCGCCUAGGUGCUCUGUGGACCAUGAGAUUGAGUUGGUGUCGGACGCGAAGCCACCCGCCUGGGCGCCUUACAGAAUGUCACAACCCGAACUCAUCGAGCUUUGGAGACAAUUGACAGAAAUGCUAGACAUAUGGAUCAUCGUGCCCUCCAAGUUCCCAUAAGGGUCCCCUGUGCUAUUCCAAAAGAAACAUGAUGGCCGCUUGCGACUCUGUGUGGAUUAUCGGGAUCUAAACAAAAUCACUAUGAAGAACAAACCCUAUUCCGCUAAUGGCAGACUUGUUUGAUAGACUGGGUGGUGCGACAGUGUUCACCAAGAUAGAUCUGAAGACAGGUUAUUGGCAAGUUCAGAUUGCAGAGGGUGAUGAAUACAAGACGACCUAUGUAACAAGAUACUGGUCGUAUGACUUCCUGGUCAUGCCGUUUGGCUUAACUAAUGCCCCAGCUACAUUUUGCACCCUGAUGAACCAAGUUUUUCGAGAGUACAUUGACGAAUUCGUGGUGGUCUACUUGGAUGACAUUGAGGUAUAUAGAAAAACACUGGAUGAACACAUGGAGAACUUGCGGAAGGUCCUAGCCCAAUUGCGGGAGCACGAACUACAUGCAAAGCUAUCCAAGUGCUCCUUUGCUAAAAAGCAGAUUGACUUCCUCGGACAUGUCAUCGAGGUAGGGCGGAUCAAGAUGGACUAACAGAAGAUUCAGGAAAUCACAGAUUGGCCGCUGCCUAAGGAUAUCCACGCCUUAAGGGUGUUCCUUGGCCUAUGCAACUACUAUCCACGAUUUGUGAAAAACUACUCCAUCAUCGCAAUACCAUUGAUAGAACUCCUCAAGAAGGUCACACCUUGGGAUUGGGGACCCAGGCGAGCAGAGGCCUUCAACGCAUUAAAAGCGGCUAUGUCUAGCAGCCCCGUCUUGGCCCUCCCUUAUUUGGCCAAGCCAUUCGAAGUCAAAUGGAUGCAUCCGACUAUGCCCUCGGCAGAGUCUUGCUAAAAGAAGGUAAUCCUGUAGCGUACGAGAGCCGAAAGCUGAAGGAUGCAGAGCGGCGCUAUACCGCCUAUGAGAAAGAAUUAUUGGUUGCCUUCCAUUGCUUGCGCCUUUGGAGGCACUAUCUGUUGGGGACCCCGUUCGUGGCCAAGACAGACAACACAGCUGUUAGCCAUUUCAUGACCCAGCCAAAGCUGAAUGGUCAACAGGACAAGUGGCAGGAACUCCUAGCUGAAUUCUACUUCAACCUGGAGUACCGAAGUGGGAAGACCAAUCAUGUUGCUGAUGCGCUUAGUAGGAGAGCUGAUCUAGCAUCAGUGUGUCUACUCGCCACCCUAAGGGGGAGAGAAAUAUCCACUACCAUCAAGGAUAGAUACAGGAUCUAAUCAUCAAGGAUCCUGCUGCAUAGUAUUUGGUUGAUUUAUAGGACGGGGCAAGACUCGCCAGUUCUACAUGGAAGAUGGUUUCCUGAAAGUGAAAGGGAACCGACUUUAUAUUCCUAAAGGAGGAGAUCUGCGAAGGACUCUUCUGGCGGAAUGUCACGAUACUCUGUGGGCCGGCCAUCCCGGUAAAGAAUGCACCAUGGCGUUACUUCGCCGUGCAAAUUAUUGGCCUCAAAUGGCCGAUGAAGUCGCUCAGUAUGUGAAGACUUGUCUAGUAUGCCAGAAGGACAAACCUGACCGCUUGACACAAGCGGGACUCUUGGAACCACUAGCUGUCCCAAAGAGACCUUAGGAAAGCGUCUCCCUAGAUUUCAUCACUAGAUUGCCCAAGCUCGGAGAUCUCACAACUAUCUUAGUUGUGGUGGAUCGGUUUUCCAAGUAUGCUACCUUUAUAGCAGGCCCACAAUAUAUAUCAGCAGAAGAUACAGCUCGACUCUUCUUCUCUCAUGUCGUCAAAUAUUGGGGCCUGCCCAAAGACAUUGUUAGUGAUCGCAAUUCUCGCUUCACUAGCAACUUUUGGACCCAACUCUUUAGGUGCCUUGGGUAAGAAUUGAGUCACAACUUAAGUUUUCAUCCGCAAUCUGAUGGUCAAACAGAGCGGUUCAAUAGUAUGUUGGAGGAAUAUCUUCGCCACUUUGUAACCGGAUCGUAGAAGAAUUGGGCGAAGCUUCUGGAUGCUGCUCAACUGUGUUUCAAUUCACAAAAGAUCUCUAAUAAAAACAAAAGCGCUUUUGAAAUUGUUACCGGACAGCAACCGCUACUCCCACACACCGUGAAUGCACCAAACAUGUCUAAAUCUCCUCGAGGUGCUAGCUUCUCAAAAGAAUGGACGCGAAAUUUAGAGAUAGUGUGGAGUUAUCUUGUCAAAGCCCAAAAGCGGAUAAAGAGACAUGCCGAUCAAAAUCGUCGCUUUGUUGAAUACUAAGUAGGAGACAAAGUGAUGGUCAAAAUCCCAAAGCGGUACUUGUUUGUGAGGGUCCAUGACCAUCGCCUAUUGCAAAAAUACAUUGGACCCUUGUCCAUUGAAAGGUGCAUUGGGAAAGUUGCAUACCGGGUGGAUACCCCAGCUUGGUGGAAAAUUCAUCAUGUCUUCCAUGUCAGCCUUCUGAAACCUUUUCAGGAAGACACAGAGGAUCCUUCACAAAGCCAGCUCACAAUACCCAGUAUUCGAGGCCCCAAUUCAACCAGGAAAAGGCUUGUUGAAGCUAUCCUUGAUGAUCGAGUGAUUCAUGCCUCAAGGAAAGAUCACCAAGAGUUCUUGGUGAAAUGGUAGGGUUGUGAUGCAGAGGAGAAUACUUGGGAGAGGGGAACAAACCUCAAAUCCUAUAAGAUCAUAAUUGAUGAUUAUCUUGCAAGUAAGGUGCCGAGGACAUCGCCAACUCAGGUAGGGGAGAAUGUCAUGGGUAGCUUUCCAGCCGUGUGCCAUGACCCUUUGGGCGUACCCCUAGCGUCCCAACAAGCCUCCUAACGUCUAGCGCCACGAAUGGCUCCGUGGUCUUGGUUGCGCCAAGUGACAAGCACACAUGUGAAUCUGUCGCCUCAUUGAUAUCCCUCGCCAGCGCCAGCCGCAAGCUGAUGCCAACAACAUCGAGCUUGCAGACCGUGAUGUCAAAGACAAUGUUGCUGACAACUAACUUGUUUCUGCCUUGCAGAAAACUUAGUCCUUUUCAUUGUAAAUAUAGAGUAGUUUUAUUUCAUGUACUUUAAUUAUGUUUCUCUAGCUUAGUUAAGUCUAGUCUUGUAACUUUGGUUUAUUUUUUUUAGCACUAUUAGGGGGGAUCAAGCAAUCAAACUUUCUAGCAAGUAAACAAUUCUCUGUACUGGUGUCUCUCCCCCUCGACACCGCGUUGCUUUUUUGUAAUAGCUUUCAUUAAUGCAAUCAAGCUUUCUUUCAUUCUGUUCUCUCAAUUGCUCUUCACAUUGGUUUUCCCGUACGACAUUGACAAUCUCGUCUAGCGUACGGAGGGGACCUCAGUUGGAGGAUAGUAACUACACUGACAUCAGUUGCUUAGCCUUACGUCGCCCUUCCAAGGACUCGCAGGAAGGCGCCGCGUAAUAGUCUAUAUGUACACUUCACCUUGGGUCCCUUUUAUUUGAGUGGAUGGCUCGACCCCGUGAUCUUGGAGUUUUGCCAUUGGUACCAAGUCUGUUUGGCGCAAGUAGGCCCUUCUAUAUGGCGAACGGUAGCUUAUCUACACCGGCUAUGCACGGAGACUGGGAAAAUCCUAACCCUGGCACACAUGAUGAACCUCUACUCCCCCAAAAUAUUUCAUUGGGGGAGUAAUAAAUUUUAGUAAACAUGUCCAACAUGCCCUUCUCACCCGCGUGGAUGAUGACAGUGACCACAGAUGGAUGGAGCAGUUUGUCAUCAUUUCUACCAGGGAUAUAAUUCCGGCCACAAUUCCAUCUUUUCCUAAAUCAUGGAAUCGUUCACGUAAGUUUGUAAUUUAUUCAUCUCUUUCCUUCGUAAAACCAUUGUUCCCCGUCAUUGUUGACAUUUUUGUCUCUUUUGUUUCAGCUAGAAGGUGGACACCACCAAGGGUUCAAGGCCUGGACCAGUGGGUUCAGAAGAUUCUGGAUAUUACAAUGCAAGAAACCCGUCGGCAGGGGUGUUCAUGGUUUGGUUUGAGUCGAUUUUUCCCUAAAAAAACCAAACCAAGUAAGUCGGUUCUUCAAAUAGUGGAACCAAACCAAACCAAUUAAGUCGAUUUUUUAUCGCUUCGGUUUUUUUUUCCGAUUUUUGUCGAUUUUUCGGUUAUUUAUAGGUUUUUUCUUAAAUAUGAUACAUAUACUACCAAACGCAUAUUUCGACCGCUACAUUUUCAACGUAACACUAUCAAAUCAAUUGCUCUUUGAGAAAUCUAUCAUUUACCAAGAUAUAUUGAUGAUAAUUGAAUCUAGUGAUGAAUAAUUUAAGUACUCAAUUAAAUAUCGAUUAUUUUUAACAUGAAAUAAAUUCUUGUACUUAGCAAGAGAAAACUACCAAUCAAACUAGAAUGUAAAGGCAAAAAAUUAGAUUAUUAUAAUAGCGAAGAGCUAGACUAAAAAUACAAAUGACUAAUAUGUACCAUAAAAUUUUAAAAUUUUUAUAUAAAAAUAUACAUUCAUAUAGGUAUAAUAAUAAGUUCAAAUAGCUACUUUGUAGUCGGUUUGGUUCGGGUUUUUUGGUUAUUUUUAUUAAAAACAAAAUACACCAAAUUUGACCGGGUUUUAAAAUUCAAAAUCAAAACCAAACCAAACCUAAAAAGUAUUGAUUUUUUGGUCGGUUUGGUUCGAUUUUNNNNNNNNNNNNNNNNNNNNNNNNNNNNNNNNNNNNNNNNNNNNNNNNNNNNNNNNNNNNNNNNNNNNNNNNNNNNNNNNNNNNNNNNNNNNNNNNNNNNNNNNNNNNNNNNNNNNNNNNNNNNNNNNNNNNNNNNNNNNNNNNNNNNNNNNNNNNNNNNNNNNNNNNNNNNNNNNNNNNNNNNNNNNNNNNNNNNNNNNNNNNNNNNNNNNNNNNNNNNNNNNNNNNNNNNNNNNNNNNNNNNNNNNNNNNNNNNNNNNNNNNNNNNNNNNNNNNNNNNNNNNNNNNNNNNNNNNNNNNNNNNNNNNNNNNNNNNNNNNNNNNNNNNNNNNNNNNNNNNNNNNNNNNNNNNNNNNNNNNNNNNNNNNNNNNNNNNNNNNNNNNNNNNNNNNNNNNNNNNNNNNNNNNNNNNNNNNNNNNNNNNNNNNNNNNNNNNNNNNNNNNNNNNNNNNNNNNNNNNNNNNNNNNNNNUGACUGCGAGGAGGUCGCGAGAUUGUUAUAAAGUGAUCUCGCUUGAAGUGGUGCCCUUGGAUAUGCUUUCAGUGGGGGUGCUUCUUCUCGGAGUCCCCAGUCAGAGAACAGGCAACCAAGAAGGUAGUGUUCUUCCUUAGCUGGGAAUAACAAUGAGAAAAUAAAGAAGGCCACAACCGAGCCCGCCGUGGCCAUAGUGGUCAUUGAAGUUAUGGGAAGCUAGUGAUGAAAGGGCUUCCCUUCAAAGGAGACAAAGAUUUUCAUUAGCUAAUCCGAGUGUUCAACCGGGAGAGCUUAAAACCCUAACUGAAGGUGAGGUCCGAGCACUUUGGGGUGAAAUGGAGAUAGUAGAGAAUGCUGAUUUUCGCUUUCCGGCCCUAUUACUAUUUCUAGUCCCAGAAGGUCGAAACCCGGGCCUCUUCUACCUUCGGUCGAUGAGAAACCAAUAAUCACCACUGCUCUUGUUGCAGUUUCUCCUCAACCUACAACACCAACAACUUCAUGCCCCUCUGCACUAGCUAUACUUUCGCCACCAGCAUCCGCUGCAUCUCCUCCACCAGCCACAGAUGCCCGAGAGGAGGGUGCUGCUUCUCCUUAGUCUCCAAACCAUGGGAAUUAGGGGCACAAUUACUUGAUUUACUUUCUACCUAUCUUCGGUUCCACGUGUUACGCUACUAUCCGAUCAUUUAAUAUAAAUCAAUUUUACCCUAUACAAUGGUGAGAUUAGUUAUCCUGGUAUUAUUUUUUAUUGACUAUUUGAUAUGUUGUGUUAAUCCUGGGAUUGUCAAUUUUACUACUUUAUCUUGGAAUAAAUUAUCUUGGGAUUACUAUUCCAUCCUCUAGCAAGUAUAAGUUAUGUUGGUGCUAUUUUAAUUCUGGGAUAACUUAUCUCAAGAGUAAUAACCAAACAAUAGUUAAGGAGGUACUAAAUGUCACGACCUAAAAUCCCAUCCAUAGGGCCGUGAUGGCGCCUAACAUUCGCUUGCUAGGCAAACCAACAUUAGCACAAUAUUAAAGAAGUUAAACAAUUAAAGUCAAAUUAAUAAUAAUAAAAAAGAGAAAUCUUAUAAAAUAUAUAAUAGCUCUACAACCAUAGAUUAUUCCCAGAAUUUGGUGUCAUAAGUACAUGAGCCACUAGAAUAAUGCAUAUAAAGUCUGAAAAGAAACUCAAUAGUGUCUGACACAAGAAAAACAUCAAUAAAGAUAGGAAGGGGACUCUAGGGUAUGCGAACGACAAGCAACACUACCUCAAGUCUCAUGUUAAAGGGUUCAAACAAUCACCUCUGAACGCCGCUGGGACCAACACGAGGAUCUACACAAGAAGUACAAAAGUAUAGUAUGAGUACAACCGACCUCAUGUACUUAUUAAGUAUCGAGCUUAACCUCGAUGAGCUAGUGACGAGGCUAUGACAAGACACUCACUGUAAACUUGUACGUAUAAUAAGCAGAAAACAAUAACAAGGUAGAGAAAGGAAUAACUACAUAAUAAAUGGAAUAAGAAAAUAAACGACAGAGGGCCCAGAAUAUCAUCACAUUAUGGUCUCACAACACAAUACGGUAGCGGAAUAUAACAAUCAAGAAUAGUUGCAAUACAUCUUGUCUGUUGCGGCGCGCAACCCGAUCCCAAUAUAUAUCAAUAAUCAUACCGUUGCGGCGUGCAACUCAAUCCCAAAAUAUAUUAAUAACAAUACUGUUGCGGUGUGCAACCCGAUCUAAUUAUAUCAAUAAUAAUAUUGUUGCGAUGUAAAACCCGAACCAAAUAUAUCAAUAACUAUAUUGUUGAUGCGCGUAACCCGAUCCAAUCAUAUAAAUAACAACCAAAUUCAUCAAGUCUCACAAGGUACAUAAAAGAGAAUUAAAAGUGCAGAAUUUGCCAAGAAAAAUACAAGCACGGAUAAAGAGGAUCAUACAAUUCGAUGUUCACGAACCUGUCUCACACUAUAUGUCAAUAAAGACUUCGACAAAUCGUAACACGAGAACAAUUAAAGAUCACACAAUCUGACAUAACAUAAUAUAAUGAAACAAGAAGCAAGUAAAGGCAGUAAGGCAAGUGAAGACAUGAAACAGUAAAAACACUUAUCUAAUAACAUGUGAGCAUGUAACAAGUAAAGGCGGACGAUAAAUAAAAGCAUGAAUAAGUGAAAGCGCGCAACAAAUAAGGACAUGUAACAAGUGAAGAUACGUAUAUAAUAAGUAAAGGCAUAUAUCAAGCAAAAGGGCAUAACAAGUAAAAACAUGGAAUAAAUAAUUAAAGGCAUGAUAUAAUUAAAGAUAUAAAAUAAAGUAAUACACCCCACAUGCUUAACCCAUAAUGACACAUAUAAAUAAGUAAAGGCAGUAAGGCAAGUAAAGACAUGAAACAGUAAAAACACUUAUCUAAUAACAUGUGAGCAUAUAACAAGUAAAGGCGGACGAUAAAUAAAAGCAUGAAUAAGUGAAAGUGCGCAACAAAUAAGGACAUGUAACAAGUGAAGACAUGUAUAUAAUAAGUAAAGGCAUAUAUCAAGCAAAAGGGCAUAACAAGUAAAAACAUGGAAUAAAUAAUUAAAGGCAUGGUAUAAUUAAAGAUAUAAAAUAAAGUAAUACACCCCACAUGCUUAACCCAUAAUGACACAUAUAUACUCUCCGCUUUGUAUAUACGUCGUCCUCAUGUAUAAAUCACGCAGCAAAUAUACCAAUCAUGUUCUAAUUCCGUCAAAUCAAAGUUAACCAUGAUAAUUACCUCUUUUCAGAACAAGAUCAACAAUCCGACACGGUUUUUUCUUUAGAACAAGCCUCCAAACCACCUAAAUUUUAUCAAAUAUUACUCAAAUAAGUAUAAAUAAGCUUUAAAAACUACCCUCGUACGAAAACAGUUAGAUUUUUAACAUAUUUGAAAGAGUCAACAAAAAGUCAACCCAGGCCUAUGUGGUCGAAAUCCGAAAUUAAGACCAAAUCUUGAUUACCCAUUCACUCUCGAGUCCAAAUAUGAUAUUUGUUUCGAGAUUCGAUCUCAAUUUAAUGUCUAAAUCUCAAUUUUAUAAAAUUCCUAAUUUUUACCCCAAACCUCUAUUUCUAAUAAAUGAAAUUGCAGAUAUGAUAGUGAAAAUUCAUGGGAAAGUAAUGAAAAUUGAAUGUAAUAAGUUAAAGUUACUAACCUUUGAUGUUGAGAAGAAAUUAUUCUUCAAAAAUUGCCUAUGGAAUCUAGGUUUCAAAAUGGUGUAAAAUGAGCUAAGUCCCGAAAUCUCAAUCUUUUACCCAAUUGCAGGUAUCACAAUUGUGAUGUUCGCAUAUGCGAACAACUAUUUGCAAAUGUGAUCAGUUCUUGAGUUCCUCUAAUGUCGCAAAUGCGACAUAAUGAUCGUAAAUGCGAACACUAGGACCAUCACAAAUGUGGAUUUGGCUUUGCAAAAGUUAAGCUAUCCCCUUCUGUUAUGCCGCAUUUUGCGAUGAAAACUUGGCAAAUGUAAAGGCUGAACCCACUGCAAAUGCAAACUAAGCUUCGCAAAAGCGGAGUUGUUAUCCCCUACCCACCAUCACAAAUGCGAGGUUCACAUUUGCGAACAGAUCCUCGCAAAUGCGAGAUCUGCAGUUCAACAACACCAGCAACACAACAGUUAUACCAAAUCAGUUCGUAACCUAUCUGAAACUCACCCGAGCCCCUCGGUCUCCAAUCCGAACAUUCACCACAAGCAUAAUAACAUCAUACAAACUCGCUUACAAACUCUAAUCAUCAAAAUAACAUCUAAAAUCAAGAAUUGAUCCUCAAAACUAAAAAAAAA
rnacentral:lncRNA from 1 species